AGAUGUUCUGGGCCGCACGCGCGCUACACUGACAGGGCCAGCGAGUACAUCACCUUAACCGAGAGGUUUGGGUAAUCUUGUUAAACCCUGUCGUGCUGGGGAUAGAGCAUUGCAAUUAUUGCUCUUCAACGAGGAAUGCCUAGUAGGCACGAGUCAUCAGCUCGUGCCGAUUACGUCCCUGCCCUUUGUACACACCGCCCGUCGCUACUACCGAUUGAAUGGCUCGGCCCGUGCCCCCACCCCGCCCGCC
rnacentral:rRNA from 1 species